GAGCGGCGAACGGGUGAGUAACACGUGAGUAACCUGCCCCUGACUCUGGGAUAAGCCUGGGAAACCGGGUCUAAUACCGGAUGUGACCUCCUCCGGCAUCGGAUGGUGGUGGAAAGUUUUUUCGGUUGGGGAUGGGCUCGCGGCCUAUCAGCUUGUUGGUGGGGUAGUGGCCUACCAAGGCGACGACGGGUAGCCGGCCUGAGAGGGCGACCGGCCACACUGGGACUGAGACACGGCCCAGACUCCUACGGGAGGCAGCAGUGGGGAAUAUUGCGCAAUGGGCGGAAGCCUGACGCAGCGACGCCGCGUGGGGGAUGACGGCCUUCGGGUUGUAAACCUCUUUCAGCAGGGACGAAGUUGACGUGUACCUGCAGAAGAAGCGCCGGCUAACUACGUGCCAGCAGCCGCGGUAAUACGUAGGGCGCAAGCGUUGUCCGGAAUUAUUGGGCGUAAAGAGCUCGUAGGUGGCUGGUCGCGUCUGCCGUGAAAGCCCGCAGCUUAACUGCGGGUCUGCGGUGGAUACGGGCCGGCUAGAGGUAGGUAGGGGCAAGUGGANUCCU
rnacentral:rRNA from 1 species